AAAAGCCACAGAAGCUCAGGGCUCUCACCCACAGCUGCCCUUGAACCCCCAACAGAAAUAGGGUACAUGGAAGGCGCCAUCCUGCCAGCCAGAGGAGGAGCCCUGGACUGAGAGGAGUCAAGUGCUGACUGAGAUUAUCCCAUAGCACACAGAGGUCCUGGAGCACUGGGAGUUCUUAGACACUGCAAUAAAGUCCAGAGAAAUGAUGUGGGCCAAGACCUGCCCAAGUAUAGAGUUCUCCCUGCAGGACCUGCUUUACUAGUGAACAGUGCACCUCUCUCCUUGCUCUUCCCAAUUGUGCUGAGGGGUUUUAGAGCCCCCUACUGAGAUGGUUUAGCAGCAUCUCUGGAGUGAACAAGAGGUGGGACUGCAGCUCCAAGUUCUUCAGGCAAAGACAAAGCAGCAUGAGCCUGCAGCCUUUUUAGAAGAAGCAGUAAGGAAAAAGAGGACAGGUCAUCCCAUGAUGUUCCCCAGCACCACAAGGACAGUGUGGAGGGACUGGGGUAGGGCUGGGUGCCAGGAAUUACUCUAAGGUUUCCCUUUAUUCUCUUUGUAUCACAUAAGGUUGCCCUGCCCCAAGAGAGCUCCAUCUGAGGAAUGCCAGUCUAACACUGGACCAAGUGGCACCUUCCCGCUGCCUACCAGAGCCACAGACAGAACAAAAGGAAGUUCAUUAUUUAAUGGAAACCAAGUCAAACAACACAGUAGAAAAGGACAGGGUAGAAAAGGGAGGAGUCAACACCGUGGUCCCAUUGGAGCAGGUGGGUUCAGCAUGGUGCCACUAGAAUCUAGCUUGGAGAGGGUGAUUUCAAUGGUCUGCAUGGGAAUUGGGUAUUUUUACAGAAAAAUGCAGAAGGAUUCGUUUUCACUUGUUAAAUACAGGCCAGUUUUAUGGCCAAUGCAAGGCUCAGUUAAAUGUUAACAACUCAGUUACUCUGGUGGGAGGAGGAAAUAGCUGGCUCUCAACCUUCCCCUUUCCCAGUAUUUGUGGAAAAUAAUGGACUAUGUAAAUGCUUCUGUUUCCUCUCACUCUCCACAGUGGGCAGAGGUUCAUAUAACCUCUGGAAAUCAUAUCUAACAGGAAACCUAAGUAAUUCCAGAAAGGAUUUGUUCACAGAGCCAACUUUCUGCUAGAAAAUAAGUAUUAUUAACUAAACGCUGAUUAUUUUUCUGUCUCUUUCUUUCUUAGCUCUGUUAUCUUCAAUCCACUAUUCUACUAGAGAAUGACUGAGGUGAAUAAGAUUUAAGUUCUGAGAAAGAUGGGAUGCCUCUGUGUCUAAAAAUGCCAUGGAGAGAGAGGAGAUCACAGCUAAGUGCCAUAGCCCCAUAGAUGAUGAUCAUAAACUGGGCAUGUUGGCAUAUACCUUUAAUCCCAGCACUUGGGAAGCAGAGGCAGGUGAAUCUCUGUGAGUUCGAGUUCCAGGUCAGCCAGGGCUACAUAGUGAGUUCCUGUCUCAAAGAAAAGAAAAGAAUUGGCAUUUCUUAAACUGAAGAAUUAAUCACAUUUAUAGUGAUGAACUGAGAACCAUGACGAGAUGAGAGCUGGCAGAAUCUGUUAAUCCAAUGGAGUUAUUCGCAUGUAUAAUUUCAUUUUGUAAAAUAUGUUUUUUUCUAUAAUCUGUCCCCUCCAGGGAUUCCUUCUCUCUCAAGCCUUUUAGAAAAUGUAAAGCGGUUUCCCACCCAUUUCCAUGGGAAGUCUCUUCUUGGUAGAAGGCCUUUGUGAAAACUUGUUCAAGAUUUUCUGCCUCUUUUCUCUGCUCAGAUCUCACGUGUGGAGCCACAGAGGAUCCAGUGACAAUGGAGGAAUUGAAGGUGAAGUUAGUGUCUCUGUGCCUACAGAUUUUCCUUAGCAGAGCUGUGGAGUGUGACAAUGGUGUUUGUGUCUAAACUAUCAAACGCCAUUAUCACACUAAAUAGCUACUGCUAGGCAAUCCUUCCUCUCCGUAAGUGUCUUGGCAUCUGUUUGCUCUGAGCAAGAAAGUUUGUCUUAACCAGCAUUCUCUGUCUUGUGUAAUUUCUGAAUAAAGUCUGGUACUCUUGUGCUCAUAACUGUA